rnacentral:rRNA from 1 species
UACGUAGGGGGCAAGCGUUGUCCGGAUUCAUUGGGCGUACAGAGCGUGUAGGCGGCCAGGUAGGUCGGUUGUGAAAACUGGAGGCUCAACCUUCAGAGGUCGACCGAAACCAUCUGGCUAGAGUCCGGGAGAGGAGAGUGGAAUUCCUGGUGUAGCGGUGAAAUGCGCAGAUAUCAGGAAGAACACCCGUGGCGAAAGCGGCUCUCUGGAACGGUACUGACGCUGAGACGCGAAAGCGUGGGGAGCGAACAGG